rnacentral:rRNA from 1 species
GACGAACGCUGGCGGCGUGCUUAACACAUGCAAGUCGAACGGUGAAGCGCCUUCCUUUUUGGUGGGUGUGGAUGAGUGGCGAACGGGUGAGUAACACGUGAGUAACCUGCCCCCUUCUUCUGGAUAACCGCAUGAAAGUGUGGCUAAUACGGGAUAUUCUGGGUCUGUCGCAUGAUGGGUCUGGGAAAGAUAUUGUUUCGGUGGGGGAUGGGCUCGCGGCCUAUCAGCUUGUUGGUGGGGUGAUGGCCUACCAAGGCGGUGACGGGUAGCCGGCCUGAGAGGGUGGACGGUCACACUGGGACUGAGACACGGCCCAGACUCCUACGGGAGGCAGCAGUGGGGAAUAUUGCACAAUGGGCGCAAGCCUGAUGCAGCGACGCCGCGUGAGGGAUAGAGGCCUUCGGGUUGUGAACCUCUUUCGCCAGUGAAGCAGGCCUGCCUCGUUUGUGGGUGGGUUGACGGUAGCUGGAUAAGAAGCGCCGGCUAACUACGUG